GUGUUUCUGCUAAAAGGAACCUUUUGUCAGUCCUAGAACCAUUAACGAAUAAGGGGUGGGCAAGUUUUGGUGUCAGCCGCCGCGGUAAAACCAGCACCUCAAGUGGUCAGGAUGAUUAUUGGGCCUAAAGCAUCCGUAGCCGGCUCUGUAAGUUUUCGGUUAAAUCUGUACGCUUAACGUACAGGCUGCCGGGAAUACUGCAGAGCUAGGGAGUGGGAGAGGUAGACGGUACUCGGUAGGAAGGGGUAAAAUCCUUUGAUCUAUUGAUGACCACCUGUGGCGAAGGCGGUCUACCAGAACACGUCCGACGGUGAGGGAUGAAAGCUGGGGGAGCAAACCGGAUUAGAUACCCGGGUAGUCCCAGCUGUAAACUAUGCAAACUCAGUGAUGCAUUGGCUUGUGGCCAAUGCAGUGCUGCAGGGAAGCCGUUAAGUUUGCCGCCUGGGAAGUACGUACGCAAGUAUGAAACUUAAAGGAAUUGGCGGGGGAGCACCACAAGGGGUGAAGCCUGCGGUUCAAUUGGAGUCAACGCCAGAAAUCUUACCCGGAGAGACAGCAGAAUGAAGGUCAAGCUGAAGACUUUACCAGACAAGCUGAGAGGUGGUGCAUGGCCGUCGCCAGCUCGUGCCGUGAGAUGUCCUGUUAAGUCAGGUAACGAGCGAGAUCCCUGCCCCUAGUUGCCACCAUUACUCUCAGGAGUAGUGGGGCGAAUUAGCGGGACCGCCGCAGUUAAUGCGGAGGAAGGAAGGGGCCACGGCAGGUCAGUAUGCCCCGAAACUCUGGGGCCACACGCGGGCUGCAAUGGUAACGACAAUGGGUUUCGAAUCCGAAAGGAUGAGGUAAUCCUCAAACGUUACCACAGUUAUGACUGAGGGCUGCAACUCGCCCUCACGAAUAUGGAAUCCCUAGUAACUGCGUGUCAUUAUCGCGCGGUGAAUACGUCCCUGCUCCUUGCACACACCGCCCGUCGUUUCAUUGAAGUGAGCUUUUAGCGAGGUGACGUCUGA
rnacentral:rRNA from 1 species